UUAUUCUUGACCUCUAAUACAGUACAAGUACUGGUGACAAGGCCUUUUUACCAAUAUACAAAAAAGAACAUAAAAUCUUAUCAAACAUUCAAAACAACAAGGUUAAACUAAACAAAAUCAACUUUUAAGAUACAAUAUAAGCUUAAUAUUGAAAUACUUUCUACUUCUUAUAUCCUUUAUUCCUGCUGGUGUUUGGUUGAAUGCUUCUGUUGCUCGGUAAAUUGGGGAGUUCUGGGCUUUCCUUGUAAACCUGAGUUUUUUCUUUAGGUUAUGGAUGUCCAAAAGUUUAGUGUCCUUAUAUAAUUUUGAUGUAGGCGUUAACAUGCCAUAGUGAAAUAAUAUUUUUAUAGUUCUAUUUUGGAACACUUGUGUUUGAUGCAUUUCCCCAGCAAUUAACGAGGUACCUCAGUCAUUUAUUUCUAAUAUCUAAUAUUCAAUCAUCUAAAGUUUUUGUUUGAAAUUUGCUAUGUUGGUAUAAGAAAUCUGGCGAAAUUUGCAUCAUGUUCUUUUUCAGCAUAUUUAUUUUGUUCCCCUCCUGUGGCGUAUUAAACAAAUGAAAAAUUUGUACAGUUUUGUUGAUCAGUUUCAAGUUUUUUAAUACUUGUAAGUAUGUGAGGGAAAUAAGUGCUUUUUUUUUCUUGAUAUCACUUCUGAUUGCUCCAAUAUGAGAAUUUUGACGAAAAUAAGUAGAAAAGUAUGACCACAUCGAAAAUAUAACAUUUGAAUUACCAGUGAAAGUAGAAUAUCAAACUAGCGUCAAAGAGCACCAAAAACAAGCUCGACUGGGAGAAACAGAUAUCUAGGCUAGUCCAACAUGAUUGGGAUAAGGAACAUAAGAUCAAAUGGGAUGAAGCUUCCAUAAUAUGAAAGGAAGAAAGAUCAAAACGGAGGAAACUCAAAGAAGCAGCCUUCAUGGCCAUCACUCCGAAUCCCAUGAGUAUGCCGUCUCUAGAGAUCAAGGAAGUCUUGGCACCAAUCGUAAGAUCUAAUCUGAGGAAGUUGAAUCAUGUUCAGGUUGGAAGCAUCUCGACACCACAAAAUUAGGAAAGAGUCGAAAAUCGGACGGAUAACUGCGCACACCAUCUGCGCAACCCGAAAAUUCGACUAGUGUAACUUAUAUUGAGCUUAAUGCGUAUAGAUUACUACCUGCUUCUGUAGACUAGUGGUGAGAGUGAAGGGAUUGCAACCGAUACAACUAAAGUUCCAACCCUGAUACUCUCAUACGAACUCGAUAAAAGUAUGGUGCGUACAAGUCCAGACAGACCAAGUUUGGCAAACUGUCCUUCUCAGAACCAAUCAACUGGUCCUCCUCAGGACCACCACCCUGAAGAUGAAUGCUUGCCGAAACGUCGGAAACAUCCAACCUCACAGAUGAUGGAAAUAACCCAAUAAACUAUCUAACAAAUAGUCCAUCAUCAAUAUCUAGACAACAAUUAGAAUAUCAAAAAAAAUCUAAUCUUUUCAUGCAACCGAUCCGACUAGGUUGAAAGGUCGUUUGUAUGUCAAAUAGGUGUAUACGGAUAAGAGCAAGCAGUUUGAUGAAUUUAUGUGUGUAGGCUUCUGGUGAAAAAUCGAUAAUACCACGUUUGGAAGUCUGGAAUUUUCUAACAAUGUUAAACAGUCCAAGAAAAUAUUUAGCAUUAUAUGAAGGUCACUUAUGUGGAUUUCAAUUCAUCCAUAA